GACGAACGCUGGCGGCGUGCUUAACACAUGCAAGUCGAACGGAAAGGCCCUGCUUUUGUGGGGUGCUCGAGUGGCGAACGGGUGAGUAACACGUGAGUAACCUUCCCUUGACUUUGGGAUAACUUCAGGAAACUGGGGCUAAUACCGGAUAGGAGCUCCUGCUGCAUGGUGGGGGUUGGAAAGUUUCGGCGGUUGGGGAUGGACUCGCGGCUUAUCAGCUUGUUGGUGGGGUAGUGGCUUACCAAGGCUUUGACGGGUAGCCGGCCUGAGAGGGUGACCGGCCACAUUGGGACUGAGAUACGGCCCAGACUCCUAAGGGAGGCAGCAGUGGGGAAUAUUGCACUAUGGGCGGAAGCCUGAUGCAGCAACGCCGCGUGCGAGAUGACGGCCUUCGGGUUGUAAACCGCUUUCGCCUGUGACGAAGCGUGAGUGACGGUAAUGGGUAAAGAAGCACCGGCUAACUACGUG
rnacentral:rRNA from 1 species